rnacentral:rRNA from 1 species
AUUGAACGCUGGCGGCAGGCCUAACACAUGCAAGUCGAACGAUUGGCGGACGGGUGCGUAAUGUCUGUGAAACUGCCUGAUGGAGGGGGAUAACUACUGGAACCGGUAGCUAAUCCCGCAUACCAUCAGCUGUGCCCAGAUGGGCUUAUCUAGUUGUUGGGGUAACGGCUGACCACGGCGACGAUCCCUAGCUGGUCUGAGAGGAUGACCAGCCACACUGGAACUGAGACACGAUCCAGACUGCGACGAGAGGCAGCAGUGGGGAAUAUUGCACAAUGGGCGCAAGCCGGAUGCAGCCAUGCCGCGUGUAUGAAGAAGGCCUUCGGGUUGUAAAGUACUUUCAGCGGGGAGGCGUUACCCGCAGAAGAAGCACCGGCUAACUCCGUGCCAGCCGCCGCGGUAAUUC